rnacentral:lncRNA from 1 species
UCUGAAUUAAUGACCUAGAAGAUGGGAGUUACCACAUAGCUCAAUACAUAACGGGGACGUAAGGACAACUGAAUGAUGGAUGAAUUCUUACCAUGCUCCAGCAGUAAUGUCUUCAGAGAAUAUUUUAAAUUCAGAAGACACCACGCCUAGAGUUGCAGAAGCAAUCCUGUGACCAUGAGGCAAGAAGCAUGAGGGCCAUGCUACAAGCCAAGAUCUGCAAGCUAAUGAAGACAGAGAACGAAGAUAAGAGGUAGACCCCAGUGAUAUCACAGUGCCACCACACCAGACCUGGACUGCUUAAUGCAUGAAAUAAAAAGGGCUCUCCACUUGUGUGGGUCACUCUUGUCAGGUUUUCUGUUUGUUAGCCCAAUGCAUUUCUGAUAUAGGCCUUUCUCUUUUUAAUUUUUUGCUAAUUUUAUUCAUUUUUAAAAAUGGCUACAGGUAUUAUCCUCUGAGAAA